UUCCAGCUGACGAGUCCCAAAUAAGACGGACCAUGCGUCCUGGAU
rnacentral:hammerhead_ribozyme from 1 species